rnacentral:lncRNA from 1 species
GCAUAGAACUGAAUAGUGAUGAAACGUUGCCUUAUUGCAGCAGUACAGGAAAAAUAAACUGCAGCCUAUUUUAUGUAUACAAUGGCCAUCAGGCGAUGACUAGCCUUUUUUAAGAUAAAACUCAAUUGAACUAGUUUUCUCUGUAUUAAAAUCCAUCAAUUUGGCGAAGGUAGGUUCAUCAAGCCGGGGGAAGAAGCAGGCAAUAUGCCGAUGUCGGCAUGAGAGGGAGAGGGCCAGCUCACUUCAUGGCGGAUCUGGCACCAGGCAACACUCUUCCAGCUAAAUCUCCCUGUCGCCCAGCCUCUGUUUCAUCCUUAAAUUACGAAAAUAAAGAAAAUCAAGUCACAAGCAAGAAAUACAAUAAAUAGGAGAAUAACUGGACAACACCCGCACCUUCGAAAUUCAUCACGGACCGGAGAACACCAGACAAGACCAAAGGUGAUGGAUCCAUGUGCUACUAUAUCCAUCAGGGAACAAGCAAUUUUGCACACCUACAAACAAAUCCUUAUCGAAGUGUAUUACAAAUCCAUGGGCAAUUAGGAAGAAGCAAUCCCAAUUCGUUGAGGCGGACUUGACCAGAGGAAGUCGACCAGGUCCUGGAUUUGGAGCGGGGGACAGGGGGAUUACCUGCGGGUAGUGGAUGUGUUGGUGCUGAACCGGUGAGAGGAAGUGGCGUUCAUGGUCCUCGACAGCUUCAGGAGGAGGCGGAACAAACCUUGUCCGUCAUGGGAUCUUGGUGAGUUAGGACUCGCCAGAUCCGCAUAGCAUUGGUUGACGGCGAGCGAUCCCGGGACUCCAUGCCGCAUGCCGUGGUGGGGAGGGGAAUAAUCUGGUCGGAGACCUCCAGAUCGGGAGGGUGGCCGGCCAUGGAGGAGGAAGGUCUGGCUGGAUCUUGAGAUAAUGGAGACAGAGAGAGAGAUGAGAUAAUGGAGAGAGAGGACGGGGGUAGGUGUGGAUAGAAAGAAAAUGGUGAGUGGGUACGACGUAGGUAUGGGCAGGCAUGGUACAG